rnacentral:rRNA from 1 species
GUAGGUGGCAAGCGUUGUCCGGGAAUUAUUGGGGCGUAAAGCGCGCGCAGGCGGUUCUUUAAGUCUGAUGUGAAAGCCCACGGGCUCAACCGUGGAGGGUCAUUGGAAACUGGAGAACUUGAGUACAGAAGAGGAAAGCGGAAUUCCACGUGUAGCGGUGAAAUGCGUAGAGAUGUGGAGGAACACCAGUGGCGAAGGCGGCUUUCUGGUCUGUAACUGACGCUGAGGCGCGAAAGCGUGGGGAGCAAACAGGAUUAGAUACCCUGGUAGUCCACGCCGUAAACGAUGAGUGCUAAGUGUUAGGGGGUUCCGCCCCUUAGUGCUGCAGCUAACGCAUUAAGCACUCCGCCUGGGGAGUACGGCCGCAAAGGCUGA